GAUGAACGCUAGCGGCAGGCCUAAUACAUGCAAGUCGAACGAGAUUAAGAGGCUUGCUUCUUAUGAAAGUGGCGCACGGGUGCGUAACGCGUAUGCAACCUACCUUAAUCAGGGGGAUAGCCCGAAGAAAUUCGGAUUAAGACCGCAUAAAAACACAGGAUAGCAUUAUCCAAUGUUCAAAUAUUUAUAGGAUUAAGAUGGGCAUGCGUGUCAUUAGCUAGUUGGCGGGGUAACGGCCCACCAAGGCGACGAUGACUAGGGGAUCUGAGAGGAUGACCCCCCACACUGGUACUGAGACACGGACCAGACUCCUACGGGAGGCAGCAGUAAGGAAUAUUGGUCAAUGGAGGGAACUCUGAACCAGCCAUGUCGCGUGCAGGAAGACAGCCCUCUGGGUCGUAAACUGCUUUUAUUCGGGAAUAAACCUUUCUACGUGUAGGAAGCUGAAUGUACCGAAGGAAUAAGGAUCGGCUAACUCCGU
rnacentral:rRNA from 1 species